rnacentral:rRNA from 1 species
AUUGAACGCUGGCGGAAUGCUUUACACAUGCAAGUCGAACGGCAGCACGGACUUCGGUCUGGUGGCGAGUGGCGAACGGGUGAGUAAUGUAUCGGAACGUGCCCAGUCGUGGGGGAUAACGUAGUGAAAAUUACGCUAAUACCGCAUACGGUCUAUGGAUGAAAGCGGGGGAUCGCAAGACCUCGCGCGAUUGGAGCGGCCGAUAUCAGAUUAGGUAGUUGGUGGGGUAAAGGCCCACCAAGCCAACGAUCUGUAGCUGGUCUGAGAGGACGACCAUCCACACUGGAACUGAGACACGGUCCAGACUCCGACGGGAGGCAGCAGUGGGGAAUUUUGGACAAUGGGCGAAAGCCUGAUCCAGCCAUUCCGCGUGCAGGAUGAAGGCCCUCGGGUUGUAAACUGCUUUUGUACAGAACGAAAAGGUUUCUACUAAUACUAGGAGCUCAUGACGGUACUGUAAGAAUAAGCACCGGCUAACUACGUGCCAGCAGCCGCCGUAA